rnacentral:rRNA from 1 species
GACGUAGGGCGCGAGCGUUGUCCGGAUUUAUUGGGCGUAAAGAGCUCGUAGGCGGUUGGGUAAGUCGGGUGUGAAAACUCCAGGCUCAACUUGGAGAGGCCACCCGAUACUGCUCUGACUUGAGUUCGGUAGGGGAGUGGGGAAUUCCUGGUGUAGCGGUGAAAUGCGCAGAUAUCAGGAGGAACACCGGUGGCGAAGGCGCCACUCUGGGCCGAAACUGACGCUGAGGAGCGAAAGCGUGGGUAGCAAACAGG